UGCUCCCUGGCCCAGCUGGUUAAGGCGCACGACUGUUAGCACCGUUUCUGAUAUCGUGAGAUCGUGGGUUCGACUCCCCCGGGAGCAG